rnacentral:rRNA from 1 species
UACAGAGGUCUCAAGCGUUGUUCGGAUUCAUUGGGCGUAAAGGGUGCGUAGGUGGCGCCGUAAGUCGGGUGUGAAAUCUCGGGGCUUAACCCCGAAACUGCACUCGAUACUGUUUUGCUUGAGGACUGGAGAGGAGAUUGGAAUUCAUGGUGUAGCAGUGAAAUGCGUAGAUAUCAUGAGGAAGACCAGUGGCGAAGGCGGAUCUCUGGACAGUUCCUGACACUGAGGCACGAAGGCUAGGGGAGCAAACGGG